AACGAACGCUGGCGGCAGGCCUAACACAUGCGAGUCGAGCGAGGACUUCGGUUCUAGCGGCGGACGGGUGAGUAACGCGUGGGAAUGUUCCCUUCUCUACGGAAUAGCCCUGGGAAACUGGGAGUAAUACCGUAUACGCCCUAUUGGGGAAAGAUUUAUCGGAGAAGGAUCAGCCCGCGUUGGAUUAGGUAGUUGGUGGGGUAAUGGCCUACCAAGCCGACGAUCCAUAGCUGGUUUGAGAGGAUGAUCAGCCACACUGGGACUGAGACACGGCCCAGACUCCUACGGGAGGCGGCAGUGGGGAAUCUUAGACAAUGGGGGCAACCCUGAUCUAGCCAUGCCGCGUGAGUGAUGAAGGCCUUAGGGUUGUAAAGCUCUUUCAGCUGGGAAGAUAAUGACGGUACCAGCAGAAGAAGCCCCGGCUAACUCCGUG
rnacentral:rRNA from 1 species